rnacentral:lncRNA from 1 species
CUGCAAAUCUCAUUUGAACACCUUUCUUGUGUUGACCUCUACCAUUGCAUUUCUUUAUCAACAUCAAUAGCACUCAUUAGAAGAACAUGAUCUAAAUCAGAAUCACUUGUGUCUACAUCCUGUGCCAGAUUCACUUCAUCUUCUUUAGUUUUCUUUGUGGCUUCGUUGUGCCAGCAUUCGCUCGAGUAAUGCCCAUACUUGUUGCAUGUAUAGCACUGGAUGUUCCUCUUAUCGAAAUUCUUUCUGCCUCUCCCUCUCGUUUGCUUUUCGGCCCUUUUGCUGUUACUGCACUCUUCUCCAACAGCCUGAUAAAAAACAUUCGCACUUCUUCCUCCAAAUCUGCCUCCCCGAGAUCGACCUCUGCUUCUUCCAGUGCCUCGUCCUCUAGGUUUCAAGUUGCUUCUUACUUGUAAAGCUUGAUUCGAACCCGUUUCAUUUUUGGCUUUCUUUCUUUCAAGCAGACGUUGUUCAUGGGCUUCUAGCGAGUUCUACAACUCUUCCACUUUCAUGUUUUCCACGUCUUUGCAUUCUUCAAUUGCUACAACGAUAUGGUCGUACUACGGGGUUAGCGUUCUAAGAAUCUUCUCCACAAUUUUCUUGUCCUUCACCUUGUCGCACGGUCUCAUGGCGUUCACCACUACUUGUAUCCUCCUUAUAUACUCAACAAUCAAUUCUUGCUCUCCCAUGCCUAAGAGUUUGUAUUGUCUUUGGAACGACUGUAGUUUAAUCUUCUUGACUUUGCGUGUGUUGUCGUAGCCUUCUUGAAGAAUGUCCCAAAUCUCCUUCGUCGUGCCUGCCUUCGAUACCUUCUGGAAAAUGGUGGAUGACACGCAUUGGUGCAACAACAUUCAGGCCUUGCAAUCUAAUAUCUUGUUUUCCUUAUAUUGUCGCUUUGUCUCUUCAGAAUCUCCCUUCAAUGGCUCUUUAAAACCCUUCUUGACUACCUCGUCCACUUCUUGAAAACCAAGAAUGACGUUUAUUUUAACGCACCAGUCUUCGAAUCCCUUUUCGUCAAACACAAGAAGAUUACUGUGUAUUACACCAGCCAUUUCUUCUUGAUCGGUUUCUGCUGAUCACCAGGUUUUCGAACUCAUGCUCUGAAUAUCACUGUUAGUGUGGCUAGACGUCACUACAAGAAUUUCGAUUUUUACCGAAGGUUUAUUACCGAAGGCCUACUGGCCNUCGGUAAAAAUGAGUUUUUGACGGUCAAAAUGAGUUUUACCGAGGGGCAUUUUGAGAUGGAAUUGCCGAAGGCCAAAAGAGCGUUACCAAGGGGUUUAUGGCCUUCGGUAAGAGUCUCGACCACUUAAACAGAGUGAUUGGGGAUAGUGUAGGAGGUCGUCCCCAAUUUAAUAAGAGAAGAGUACCCUCUACCUGACUUCGCGUCUUGCUCCCCAUUAUUUCCCUCUCCAUUGUCAUCCCCAAUUCGUACCAUUGUGCUUCCCAUUUUCCGCCUCUCGCUUUGGUUUCACGUUUCUCUCCCUCUCCCUCUCCCUUUCUCGUCUGUUAGGUGGCAUUGGGUGGCUAGGGUUCACUUGCCGAACCUCCC